rnacentral:rRNA from 1 species
CCCCCACAUUGGAACUGAGACACGGUCCAAACUCCUACGGGAGGCAGCAGUGAGGAAUAUUGGUCAAUGGACGAUGAGUCUGAACCAGCCAAGUAGCGUGAAGGAUGACUGCCCUAUGGGUUGUAAACUUCUUUUAUACGGGAAUAAAGUGCAGCACGUAUGCCUUUUUGUAUGUACCAUAUGAAUAAGGAUCGGCUAACUCCGUGCCAGCAGCCGCGGUAAUACGGAGGAUCCGAGCGUUAUCCGGAUUUAUUGGGUUUAAAGGGAGCGUAGGCGGACGGGUAAGUCAGUUGUGAAAGUUUGCGGCUCAACCGUAAAAUUGCAGUUGAUACUGUGCAGUCUUGAGUACAGUAGAGGCAGGCGGAAUUCGUGGUGUAGCGGUGAAAUGCUUAGAUAUCACGAAG